GGAAGACUGAAACCUAAAGCAACAGCACCAUGGUCUGCACUCUGCUCGGCUCACAAACAACUACUGAGCGAGCCGGACGGCCACUCGGAAGAAGACUGUUCAAAGUAGAACCUCAAGUUUUCCCCCCUUCUACUUACUUAUAAUAUCUCUGCUCACUUUAACACUAGUUUAGAGGUGCCAUGGUGGGAAACGCUUUUAAGCCACCACAUGGGACGUGGAGAAAGGAGAAUCGGGAAUUCAAGCACAACCUUGACUACCUAGUGAGUCUGAAGCCAAGCUGAACUCAAAGCAUUAAGAGUGAUCUUGUUUGCUACUAGUAAGCUGUAGGCGGGGGAGGGGAGUCUUUACUCCUCCCCUUUCAAAGUCACUUUCAAGUGUUUUGGGUCCAGACUUUCAGUACCUGGGAAACUAAAAAAAAGUUUCCAUUGAGCCUGGCCUGGGGAGCCCUGACCACCUUUCCCUGCCCUACUGCAAAGGCGCCCCCCACAUUGGCUGUACCUGGGGGAGCCGCCUGAGGAUGAGGCAGACAUGGUUAAGCAUCAAAGCCGCAAAGAUGGGCAAUUGGGUCGGCAGGCUCUGCUCAGGGGGACCCAGAGGGGCUGGCCAAUGAGAAUCUCAGGGGCCGGGCAUCAAACGUCCUCUCUCUGAGGGGAGGAGGGUGGAAGCUUUGGGGGUGGCAGUUGGAUGAAAACUUGGGAGGCGCUCCUCUACUGUCCAAGUCGCACAGCAACUGUCCUGCCAAAGUGGGGAGGGAGGGAGACAGGAGAGGCUGAGCGACCUGCGGGGUGCCGAGUGCGCCGCCAGGAGGCAGGUGGAGGGCGCGGCAGGACAGUGAGGGGCCACGUCACUGAAAGGAGGACAACGACCAGCAUGCCCAGACCCCACCCGGGAAGAAUAGCGGGCCGACGGCUACUAGGGUUUAAACCUGAGGGCUGCCUGGAGUGCGAAGAAGGUG
rnacentral:lncRNA from 1 species